CACGUAGGGCGCGAGCGUUUGUCCGGAAUUAUUGGGCGUAAAGAGCUCGUAGGCGGCCUGUUGCGUCCGCUGUGAAAGCCCGGGGCUUAACUCCGGGUCUGCAUUCGAUACGGGCAGGCUAGAGUUCGGUAGGGGGAGAUCGGAAUUCCUGGUGUAGCGGUGAAAUGCGCAGAUAUCAGGAGGAACACCGGUGGCGAAGGCGGAUCUCUGGGCCGAUACUGACGCUGAGGAGCGAAAGCGUGGGGAGCGAACAGG
rnacentral:rRNA from 1 species